GACGAACGCUGGCGGCGUGCUUAACACAUGCAAGUCGAACGGUAAGGCCCUUCGGGGUACACGAGUGGCGAACGGGUGAGUAACACGUGGGUGAUCUGCCCUGCACUUCGGGAUAAGCUUGGGAAACUGGGUCUAAUACCGGAUAGGACCACGGUCUGCAUGGAUUGUGGUGGAAAGCUUUUGCGGUGUGGGAUGGGCCCGCGGCCUAUCAGCUUGUUGGUGGGGUGAUGGCCUACCAAGGCGACGACGGGUAGCCGGCCUGAGAGGGUGUCCGGCCACACUGGGACUGAGAUACGGCCCAGACUCCUACGGGAGGCAGCAGUGGGGAAUAUUGCACAAUGGGCGCAAGCCUGAUGCAGCGACGCCGCGUGGGGGGAUGACGGGCCUUCGGGUUGGUUAAAACCUCUUUUCAGCAGGGACGAAGGGUGGACUGACGGUACCUGUAGAGAAGCACCGGCCAACUACGUGCCAGCAGCCGCGGUAAU
rnacentral:rRNA from 1 species